AUGCAACAACUUGGUUUUGUCCCUUCUAAGUCUGACACCUCACUAUUCAUUUACAACAAGCACAAUAUACACAUAUUUGUGCUCAUAUAUGUUGAUGAUAUAAUUGUCACAAGCUCAUCAGAUGAGGCUGUCACAGGGCUCUUGAAAGAUCUCAGCACAGAGUUUGCCCUCAAGGAUCUUGGAGAUUUGCAUUAUUUCCUAGGGAUUGAGGUGAAGAAACAUGAGGAUGGACUUCAUCUCUCUCAGGAGAAGUAUGCGGCAGAUCUAGUAAAGAAGGCAGGUCUACAAAGUUGUAAGCCCUCACCCACUCCUAUGUCAAGUUCAGAAAAGAUAUCUCUCACAGAAGGACAUCUUUUGAGUCCAGAUGAUAGCACAAAGUAUAGAAGUCUAGUGGGUGCACUUCAAUAUCUUACACUUACUAGACCUGAUAUUUCAUUUGCUGUCAACAAAGUCUGUCAGUUUCUUCAUGCACCCACUUCUGUUCACCUGACUGCUGCUAAACGUGUUGUUCGAUAUGUCAAGAAUACUGCCAAUAUUGGUCUGAAUUUCAGCAAGUCAUCCUCUACACUUGUAAGUGCUUUUUCAGACCCUGACUGGGCAGGUUGCUUGGAUGAUAGAAGGUCCACUGGUGGUUUUGCAAUUUUCUUUGGCCCAAACUUGAUAUCCUGGUGUGCAAGAAAACAAGCCACAGUUUCUAGGUCCAGUACAGAGGCAGAGUAUAAGGCACUGGCAAAUGCCACAGCUGAGGUCAUAUGGGUACAAUCCAUGUUAAGAGAACUUGGUAUCCGAAGUAGUCAAGUUCCCUGUUUAUGGUGUGAUAACUUGGGUGCCACAUACUUAUCUGCAAAUCCAGUCUUUCAUGCCAGAACAAAACAUAUUGAGAUAGACUUUCAUUUUGUGAGAGAAAUGGUUGCCAAGAAGCAACUUCAGAUUCAGUUUGUGCAUUCCAGAGAUCAAAUUGCGGAUGGAUUCACAAAACCGUUACCUACAAGAAGUUUUGGAGAGUUUAAACAUAAUCUCAACUUGAUGAAGUUGUGA
rnacentral:rRNA from 1 species